UUGAUUCAAGUUGCACUAAAGUCUAUGAAUAAAGGUGAAAGUGGCCAUUGAAACCACAAAAAGUAUUUGAAUGGGUUAUAUUUACCAAUUAAAAGUAUUUACAAAAAUAUGGUUAAAGUGGAUUAAAAGGUUCAAUUCAGAAUAAGUGUUAUGAAAAAUAAGUUUUGAAAAUCAAAAGCAUAAGGCUUAGGUUUCUAAUGUUGAAAACAAAAGUUAUUGUUUGCACAAAAAGUUUUGGCUUGGGUUAGAAUGGGGAGAAAA
rnacentral:lncRNA from 1 species